rnacentral:rRNA from 1 species
UAACAACCUGGAAACAGAUGCUAAUACCGGAUAACAACAGAUGAUGCCUAUCAACUGUUUAAAAGAUGGUUCUGCUAUCACUCUUGGAUGGACCUGCGGUGCACUAGCUAGUUGGUAGGGUAACGGCCUACCAAGGCGAUGAUGCAUAGCCGAGUUGAGAGACUGAUCGGCCACAUUGGGACUGAGACACGGCCCAAACUCCUACGGGAGGCAGCAGUC